UCACUACUUGCGUAGGCAGUUUCUUUAGAGUCCCCAGCAUUACCUGAUGGCAACUAAAGAUAGGGGUUGCGCUCGUUAUGGGACUUAACCCGACACCUCACGGCACGAGCUGACGACAACCAUGCAGCACCUCGCUGGCUGCCCCGAAGGGAAGACCCGUUUCCGGGACGGUCAUCCAGCGUUCUAGCCCAGGUAAGGUUCCUCGCGUAUCAUCGAAUUAAACCACAUGCUCCUCCGCUUGUGCGGGCCCCCGUCAAUUCCUUUGAGUUUCAGUCUUGCGACCGUACUCCCCAGGUGGAUUACUUAAUACUUUCGUUCAGACGCUGACAGUGUAUCGCCAACAUCGAGUAAUCAUCGUUUACGGCGUGGACUAC
rnacentral:misc_RNA from 1 species